AUAUUUUGCAAAGUAAUUACUUUAGUAUAUUCCUUUCUUUUUAAAUUUGUCAACGUUGUCAAAUUCAUGUAAAUACUUCGAAAGUUAGUAUUAGCAACGUACAGAAAAUUUACGAUAAAUAAAUUUGUAAUUAUUAGAAAUUGCCAUGACAUUAGAUUCGCGUAAUUUAAAUUUCCCGGUUGUAUUGCGCAACCAAUUAGAAGGCUUUCUCAAACAUCUAAGGUAUCGCCCAGAGUGUCGUUUCUUGUAUCCUCUAUUCUUUAGUUUACAGAACUUGUGUAAAUGACAGAUCUUAGAUUUAUUCUCUUCAGUCACUGAAAGUAUUAAAAAAUUUUUGUCGAAAUAUAUGUUAACCUGCAUCGAAGUAGUCAUGCUGACUAUUUAUGCUGUUCGAAUAGAAAAUAAGGAAUAUUUAAAGCAAUAAAUUCGUACAGCACACGGACACUCUAUGACAGUAUAGCAAGCGCAACCAAUCUAAACUUAUUAGGAAGAGCGGAAUCAUGUCUACAACAACACGAAUUUCAUUUUGAAAAUUUUAUGUGAACUUUUCACAAAAAUCGCUUGCGUUCGUUUACUCAAGGUCAUCCGGAGGACAUGCUUAGUUGUUGAAUUGCAGCUAUUAUCCCAACUAUUAUAAUUAUUGCAACGGUCACUGGAACUAUAAUAACUGUCAUUGGAACUAUUACAACUGUCACAAUUAUGAUUGCAAGUGUUACAAUUAUCUUUGCAAUUAUUGUAAUUAUUAUUGCAACUAUUACAAGCAA